GAGUUUGAUCCUGGCUCAGGAUGAACGCUAGCGGCAGGCCUAACACAUGCAAGUCGAGGGGUAACAGGAAGUGCUUGCACUUCGCUGACGACCGGCGCACGGGUGAGUACCGCGUAUACAAUCUGCCUCAUACUAGGGGAUAGCCCGAAGAAAUUUGGAUUAAUACCCUAUAGUAUCUUUUUAAGGCAUCUUAUUAAGAUUAAAGGUUACGGUAUGAGAUGAGUAUGCGUUCUAUUAGCUAGUAGGUGUGGUAACGGCACACCUAGGCUACGAUAGAUAGGGGCCCUGAGAGGGGGAUCCCCCACACUGGUACUGAGACACGGACCAGACUCCUACGGGAGGCAGCAGUGAGGAAUAUUGGACAAUGGGCGAAAGCCUGAUCCAGCCAUGCCGCGUGCAGGAUGACGGCCCUACGGGUUGUAAACUGCUUUUAUACAGGAAGAAAAACUUUCUCGUGAGAAAGCUUGACGGUACUGUAAGAAUAAGGAUCGGCUAACUCCGUGCCAGCAGCCGCGGUAAUACGGAGGAUCCAAGCGUUAUCCGGAAUCAUUGGGUUUAAAGGGUCCGUAGGUGGAUAGAUAAGUCAGAGGUGAAAUAUUGCAGCUCAACUGUAGAACUGCCUUUGAUACUGUUUGUCUUGAGUUAUUGUGAAGUGGUUAGAAUGUGUAGUGUAGCGGUGAAAUGCAUAGAUAUUACACAGAAUACCGAUUGCGAAGGCAGAUCACUAACAAUCAACUGACACUGAGGGACGAAAGCGUGGGUAGCGAACAGGAUUAGAUACCCUGGUAGUCCACGCCGUAAACGAUGGUCACUAGCUGUUUGGACUUCGGUCUGAGUGGCUAAGCGAAAGUGAUAAGUGACCCACCUGGGGGAGUACGUUCGCAAGAAUGAAACUCAAAGGAAUUGACGGGGGCCCGCACAAGCGGUGGAGCAUGUGGUUUAAUUCGAUGAUACGCGAGGAACCUUACCAGGGCUUAAAUGUUAGGUGACAGAUUUAGAAAUAGAUCUUUCUUCGGACACUUAACAAGGUGCUGCAUGGUUGUCGUCAGCUCGUGCCGUGAGGUGUCAGGUUAAGUCCUAUAACGAGCGCAACCCCUGUUGUUAGUUGCCAGCGAGUAAUGUCGGGAACUCUAGCAAGACUGCCAGUGCAAACUGUGAGGAAGGUGGGGAUGACGUCAAAUCAUCACGGCCCUUACGUCCUGGGCUACACACGUGCUACAAUGGUAGGUACAGAGAGCAGCCAGUGCGCGAGCACGAGCAAAUCUACAAAACCUAUCUCAGUUCGGAUCGGAGUCUGCAACUCGACUCCGUGAAGCUGGAAUCGCUAGUAAUCGGAUAUCAGCCAUGAUCCGGUGAAUACGUUCCCGGGCCUUGUACACACCGCCCGUC
rnacentral:rRNA from 1 species